CUGUUGGAAUUCAUUAAACGUUUUACCGCACAGCUCGACGUACACUUAACUUACGAUCCGCCGAGCCCGAGUCCGAUUCCGAUUCCGAAUCCCCGAGUCCGAGUCCGAGUCCGAGUCUGAGUCAAAGCCAAAGCCAAAGCCGAGCAACAAAGGCAGUACACACAAUUUUUAAAUACAGCGCAGCGCAGAUUCGUGUAAGCCAAUACCCAGUUGACAGCCAAACAGCAUCCAGCUAACAGUUCCCAGCUCAUUGUUAGAGCCACCGAACGCAUUCGAAUUCGGCUUUUUGUUUCACUUGACUCACCGCAACUCAGCUCAAUUACCGCCUGCAAUAAAACACUUCAACUAAAUCAACAUGAAAUUCUUAGUCACCAUUGCUGCUCUGUGCCUGUGCCUGGCCUUUGCUGCCGGCCAGCAAUACUUUCUAGGACAAUUUCCCACCCGAUCCCGCUUCGCCUUCGAUACACUCUCCCUGGCACAGCCGUCUGCUGCGCAGGUGCGCGAUCCCCGCCAGAAUCGAGGACCCGUUGUGUUCCCACCCUCGCCCCCAGAUGCGAUUGAGGAGUCGAGCGGUGUUGUUGUUGGCGCCUCUGGUUUUGGUUUUGUGCCGCCACAGCAAAGUAAUUCACUCAGACGUACGGUCUGAACAAUAGCAUAGCCUAGGCCAUUGUCACUCACAGACACUCACUCUCACUCACACACACUCACACACACACACACUUAAAGCUUUAUUAGUGCAAUUGAAGCACAAUCUUUGGUUAACUGCACACACACGCACACACACACUCACGCACAUAGCCAUAAGCACACACACGCACACAAGCUCACACUCAGUUACAGCACAGACAAUGCCAAACAGCGGAAACGGAAAUGCGCGUCACAGUUAAUCGCAAUUUGAGCGUUCGCAGCACUUAAUCAACUUCAAGCUAAGCCCCACAGUCGGCCACAAAA